rnacentral:rRNA from 1 species
CAGCCAGACUGGAACUGAGACACGGUCCAGACUCCUACGGGAGGCAGCAGUGAGGAAUCUUCCACAAUGGGCGAAAGCCUGAUGGAGCAACGCCGCGUGAAGGAUGAAGGCCUUCGGGUUGUAAACUUCUUUUAUGAGUGAAGAAUAUGACGGUAACUCAUGAAUAAGCACCGGCUAACUACGUGCCAGCAGCCGCGGUCAUACGUAGGGUGCAAGCAUUAUCCGGAGUGACUGGGCGUAAAGAGUUGCGUAGGCGGUUUAAUAAGUGAAUAGUGAAACCUGGUGGCUCAACCAUACAGACUAUUAUUCAAACUGUUAAACUCGAGAAUGGUAGAGGUAACUGGAAUUUCUUGUGUAGGAGUGAAAUCCGUAGAUAUAAGAAGGAACACCAAUGGCGUAGGCAGGUUACUGGGCCAUUUCUGACGCUAAGGCACGAAAGCGUGGGGAGCGAACCGGAUUAGAUACCCGGGUAGUCCACGCCGUAAACGAUGGAUACUAGCUGUUGGAGGUAUCGACCCCUUCAGUAGCGAAGCUAACGCGUUAAGUAUCCCGCCUGUGGAGUACGGCCGCAAGGCUAAAACAUAAAGGAAUUGACGGGGACCCGCACAAGCGGUGGAUCGUGUUCUUUAAUUCGAUGCUAAACGAAGAACCUUACCAGGGCUUGACAUCCAGGGAAUUUUUGGGAAACCAAUUAGUGCCUUUUGGAACCCUGUGACAGGUGAUGCAUGGCCGUCGUCAGCUCGUGUCGUGAGAUGUUUGGUUAAGUCCAUCAACGAGCGCAACCCUUGUGAAUAGUUGAAUUUUUCUAUUCAGACUGCCCCGGCAACGGGGAGGAAGGAGGGGAUGAUGUCAGGUCAGUAUUUCUCUUACAUCCUGGGCUAGAAACGUGAUACAAUGGCAAGUACAAUGCGCAGCGAAGCCGUGAGGUGAAGCAAAUCGCACCAAAGCUUGUCCCAGUUCGGAUUGGAGGCUGAAACUCGCCUCCAUGAAGUCGGAAUCGCUAGUAAUCGCAGAUCAGCAAGCUGCGGUGAAUACGUUCCCGGGUCUUGUACACACCGCCCGUCAAACCAUGAAAGUGACCAACACCCGAAGUCCGAUUCGUCGGCCUAAGGUGGGGGGCAUGAUUGGGGUUAAGUCGUAACAAGGUAUCCGUACCGGAAGGUGCGGAUG